rnacentral:siRNA from 1 species
ACUUCAUUGUAGUCAAUCCCCU